rnacentral:rRNA from 1 species
CCGACAAUGUAGUGGGGCUCAAGUACACCGCCGAAGCCGCGGCAACUUUUUUGAAGUUGGGUAGGGGAGCGUCGUGCAUGGUGUGAAGCAGUACCGUGAGGGGUUGUGGACUGUGUGCGAGUGAGAAUGCAGGCAUGAGUAACGAAUUGUAAGGUGAGAAUCCUUACCGCCGGAUGACUAAGGGUUCCUGGGUCAAGUUCGUCUUCCCAGGGUGAGUCGGGACCUAAGGCGAGGCCGACAGGCGUAGUCGAUGGACAACGGGUUGAUAUUCCCGUACCGGCGAAGAA